rnacentral:rRNA from 1 species
GAUGAACGCUGGCGGCGUGCCUAAUACAUGCAAGUCGAGCGAACAGACGAGGAGCUUGCUCCUCUGACGUUAGCGGCGGACGGGUGAGUAACACGUGGAUAACCUACCUAUAAGACUGGGAUAACUUCGGGAAACCGGAGCUAAUACCGGAUAAUAUAUUGAACCGCAUGGUUCAAUAGUGAAAGACGGUUUUGCUGUCACUUAUAGAUGGAUCCGCGCCGCAUUAGCUAGUUGGUAAGGUAACGGCUUACCAAGGCAACGAUGCGUAGCCGACCUGAGAGGGUGAUCGGCCACACUGAAACUGAGACACGGUCCAAACUCCUACGGGAGGCAGCAGUAGGGAAUCUUCCGCAAUGGGCGAAAGCCUGACGGAGCAACGCCGCGUGAGUGAUGAAGGUCUUCGGAUCGUAAAACUCUGUUAUUAGGGAAGAACAAAUGUGUAAGUAACUAUGCACGUCUUGACGGUACCUAAUCAGAAAGCCACGGCUAACUACGU